rnacentral:rRNA from 1 species
UACGGAGGGUGCAAGCGUUAUCCGGAAUCAUUGGGUUUAAAGGGUGCGCAGGCGGGGCUUUAAGUCAGUGGUGAAAUCCCUUCGCUUAACGAAGGAACUGCCAUUGAUACUGAAGCUCUUGAAUUUAGUUGGCGUGGGCGGAAUGUGCCAUGUAGCGGUGAAAUGCUUAGAUAUCAGGAGGAACACCGGUGGCGAAGGCGGGUCUCUGGGCCGAUACUGACGCUGAGGAGCGAAAGCAUGGGGAGCGAACAGG